GCGACCCCAGGUCAGGCGGGGCUACCCGCUGAAUUU
rnacentral:rRNA from 4 species